UUGCCAUUAUCAAUAAGCGGAGGAAAAGAAACCAACCGGGAUUGCCUUAGUAACGGCGAGUGAAGCGGCAAAAGCUCAAAUUUGAAAUCUGGUACCUUCGGUGCCCGAGUUGUAAUUUGGAGAGGGCAACUUUGGGGCCGUUCCUUGUCUAUGUUCCUUGGAACAGGACGUCAUAGAGGGUGAGAAUCCCGUGUGGCGAGGAGUGCGGUUCUUUGUAAAGUGCCUUCGAAGAGUCGAGUUGUUUGGGAAUGCAGCUCUAAGUGGGUGGUAAAUUCCAUCUAAAGCUAAAUAUUGGCGAGAGACCGAUAGCGAACAAGUACAGUGAUGGAAAGAUGAAAAGAACUUUGAAAAGAGAGUGAAAAAGUACGUGAAAUUGUUGAAAGGGAAGGGCAUUUGAUCAGACAUGGUGUUUUGUGCCCUCUGCUCCUUGUGGGUAGGGGAAUCUCGCAUUUCACUGGGCCAGCAUCAGUUUUGGUGGCAGGAUAAAUCCAUAGGAAUGUAGCUUGCCUCGGUAAGUAUUAUAGCCUGUGGGAAUACUGCCAGCUGGGACUGAGGACUGCGACGUAAGUCAAGGAUGCUGGCAUAAUGGUUAUAUGCCGCCCGUCUUGAACCGGGCCA
rnacentral:rRNA from 1 species